rnacentral:hammerhead_ribozyme from 1 species
AUCCAACUGACAAAUCUCAAACGGGAUGAAACAUGUGUCUUGGAU